AUUGAACGCUGGCGGCAUGCCUUACACAUGCAAGUCGAACGGCAGCACGGGAGCAAUCCUGGUGGCGAGUGGCGAACGGGUGAGUAAUAUAUCGGAACGUGCCCAGUCGUGGGGGAUAACGCAGCGAAAGCUGUGCUAAUACCGCAUACGAUCUAAGGAUGAAAGCGGGGGAUCGCAAGACCUCGCGCGAUUGGAGCGGCCGAUAUCAGAUUAGCUAGUUGGUGGGGUAAAGGCCCACCAAGGCGACGAUCUGUAGCUGGUCUGAGAGGACGACCAGCCACACUGGAACUGAGACACGGUCCAGACUCCUACGGGAGGCAGCAGUGGGGAAUUUUGGACAAUGGGCGCAAGCCUGAUCCAGCAAUGCCGCGUGCAGGAUGAAGGCCUUCGGGUUGUAAACUGCUUUUGUACGGAACGAAACAGCCCUUUCUAAUACAGGGGGCUAAUGACGGUACCGUAAGAAUAAGCACCGGCUAACUACGUGCCAGCCGCCGCUGUAAUAC
rnacentral:rRNA from 1 species